rnacentral:lncRNA from 1 species
AAAUGUUUUUAAAUUAUUUUUUUAUUUUUAAAAAAGACUAUUAGAUGGCAUUAUUGUAGUAAUUUCAGAAGUUAGACUCUUAGUAAUGCUAAUCUAGUCAUUUUAAUUUCUAUUUGUACUCUAGUAUUUGAAUCUGUACUAUUAUGGAAGCUGUUUUGAAUGGAUGAUCAACAUCUUCGGAAUGAAGUUGUAGCUUGGCUGAGAGAUCACAGAGAAAACAAGAAAUUCUGCGCAUAUGAAGAAGGUGUAGUUAAAGUUAAUAUAGACAGCAAGAACUUGCAAUAAAAGAACAACUGAAAACAGCUCUAUGUGUAGGGACAGUGAAGAUGCAGUGUGAAUUAUACAAAGAUCAAAAAAUCAUUGCUAAAAGAGGAGUUUGAAAACUUGAAAAUAACCAAAAAUUUCACUAGAUCUGAUACACAUCUAAACUGGAGUGAUAUGUCUUACUUCUGGACCAGGGGUAAAAUUCUAAAAGAAAAAAGUAGAGGUACUCAGCUGGGUGAAGUGGACCUGUUUUUGAAAAAUUAAAAUAAAAUCUACUUGUAAACAUAAAAAACGACAAAGCAGUUCAAAUAAGUUCAGGUAAAUCUUCAUUUGAAAAUGAUUUCUUCCGCAGUUUGAAUCAAGAUUUUGAUGGAAAUCCAUGCUUUUGCAGAGUAAUUUACCUAUAGAUGACCUGUCUUUGGUCAAUAUACACUGGAAGAAUAUUUGAAAGACAUAUUUAUCCUAGCCUCAGUUGCAAGUGCAAGAUUGGAGUUGGGAUGUUUGCAUGAAGUGCAAAUGUUGUGGAUGUAUUCAUGAUGGGAGUUUCUGUUGAAAUUAAAUCAGUCAGAAGUGUUAUUAUUUUCAUUAUAAUCAUUUUCAUUGCAUUAGAUCAUUCAGUAAUGACAGAUUUAGAUAUGAUUGAUCAGACCUCAUUCAAUGAAAGUCAUGAAGUUGAAGAAUAUAUUAUUGUUUGUACUAAAUGUGACAAACAUGCUGAAAACCAUUCAUAUCGUGCAAAUCAAGGUCGAAAUGGAAUAGCCUCAGUCAAAUUAUCCUUGCUUUUAGUAAGAAUUUUCAACAAUCUACACCAAAAUAG